GGAGCUCCUGGAAGCUCGAGCGGUGGUGGCGACGAAUGAUGGGAGAGCUUUGGGAAGCUCGAAGCGAUGGUCGUGAUAUGAUCAGAAAGCAGAGAAAACGUCGAAGCUCGGAGUGAAAUUCUCGGUGAUUGGUUUUGCUAUGGAGAUUUCUCCUUGGAAAACGGAGAUGGCGUCAAGCUCACUUUUUUUAUAUAUAUCUCGUCGUUGAUGAUGUAAGCAGUUGGAGGGGAUGAUAAGUGAGACGAGCUUUUGCAGGUCGGCUUUGAGACGUUUUAAUAAAGACUCGUAUCUUUGGGCGGUGCUUUGGAUUAAAUGGAGAUCGGUUUCGGUCACCUUGGUUUGGUUCUUCAUUGACUACUGGUGAAGUCACAAAUCUCGACGAAUUCCGUAAUCAUUUACUUCGUGAUGUAACAUUUACCGUCAUAGAAACUUGUCUCUUUGCGAACUUGGGCUUCUUAGAAGUAGAUUUUGUCAACUAGCAGAUGUAGAGUUGACAAAGUUAAUCUCCAAUUUUGAGGUUUCUUUGCUUGUAAUAUGCCGAUAGAUGCAAUUUCUUUGCUGGUCUUAACACGAAGUCUUCAAUUCUUUCUUCUGGAUAAUAGCAAACGAGGUCAGCAGAUGUUGAGCCGGGCUUGAUGAUGUGACGACGACGAACGAUGGAACUCAGAGUCUCGGAGUGAG
rnacentral:lncRNA from 1 species